rnacentral:rRNA from 1 species
GGGCCCGCACAAGCGGUGGAGCAUGUGGUUUAAUUCGAUGCAACGCGAAGAACCUUACCAGGACUUGACAUACUACGAAUUCUUCUGAGAAGAAGAAGUGCCUUCGGGAAUGUAGAUACAGGUGGUGCAUGGCUGUCGUCAGCUCGUGUCGUGAGAUGUUGGUUAAGUCCCGCAACGAGCGCAACCCUUAUUUUAGUUACAGACUUCGACUGAUUUCUAGAAAGACUGCCGGUGACAAACCGGAGGAAGGUAAGGAUGACGUCAAGUCAGCAUGCCCCUUAUAUCCUGGGCUACACACGUGCUACAAUGGCUAAUACAAAGAGUUGCAAACUUGCGAAAGUGCGCUAA